rnacentral:rRNA from 1 species
GACAUCUCCUUAAUCGGAGAGUUCCCUUCGGGGACAUUGGUGACAGGUGGUGCAUGGUUGUCGUCAGCUCGUGUCGUGAGAUGUUGGGUUAAGUCCCGCAACGAGCGCAACCCUUGUCUUUAGUUGCCAUCAUUAAGUUGGGCACGCUAGAGAGACUGCCAGGGAUAACCUGGAGGAAGGUGGGGAUGACGUCAAAUCAUCAUGCCCCUUAUGCUUAGGGCUACACACGUGCUACAAUGGGUAGUACAGAGGGUUGCCAAGCCGUAAGG